rnacentral:rRNA from 1 species
GAUGAACGCUGGCGGCGUGCCUAAUACAUGCAAGUCGAGCGAACAGACGAGGAGCUUGCUCCUCUGACGUUAGCGGCGGACGGGUGAGUAACACGUGGAUAACCUACCUAUAAGACUGGGAUAACUUCGGGAAACCGGAGCUAAUACCGGAUAACAUGUUGAACCGCAUGGUUCAACAGUGAAAGACGGUCUUGCUGUCACUUAUAGAUGGAUCCGCGCCGCAUUAGCUAGUUGGUAAGGUAACGGCUUACCAAGGCAACGAUGCGUAGCCGACCUGAGAGGGUGAUCGGCCACACUGGAACUGAGAUACGGUCCAGACUCCUACGGGAGGCAGCAGUAGGGAAUCUUCCGCAAUGGGCGAAAGCCUGACGGAGCAACGCCGCGUGAGUGAAGAAGGUCUUCGGAUCGUAAAACUCUGUUAUUAGGGAAGAACAAAUGUGUAAGUAACUAUGCACGUCUUGACGGUACCUAAUCAGAAAGCCACGGCUAACUACGUG